rnacentral:rRNA from 1 species
UAAUACUGAGGGUGCAAGCGUUAAUCGGAAUUACUGGGCGUAAAGCGCGCGUAGGCGGUCUGGUCAGUCAGAUGUGGAAGCCCCGGGCUUAACCUGGGAACUGCAUUUGAAACUGCCAGACUAGAGUGUGGUAGAGGGAAGUGGAAUUCCGCGUGGAGCGGUGAAAUGCGUAGAGAUGCGGAGGAACACCAGUGGCGAAGGCGACUUCCUGGACCAACACUGACGCUCAGGUGCGAAAGCGUGGGGAGCAAACAGGAUUAGAUACCCUGGUAGUCCACGCCGUAAACGAUGUCUACUAGCCGUUGGGGAGCUUGUCUCCAUAGUGGCGCAGCUAACGCGAUAAGUAGACCGCCUGGGGAGUACGGUCGCAAGACUA